CCUCCUCUCCCACACCUUCCUCUCUUAUCUAUCUCUCUCUCUUUCCCACUUUCAUUCUUCUUUUGCAAUAAGCCUGUCCACCUCUCUCUCAACCGUUUCUCUUCUUCUCUUUUCAAAACUUAUUAAUAACUCCGUAAAAGAUUUUUUUUCUUUUUUAAUCUGUGGCUAAUGCGGUGAACCUUUCAUUUAUGCAGGUACCACUUGUGCCACAGCCCUUACCCGUGCUAUAUUUUCUGAGGGCAGCAAAUCAGUUGCAGCUGGGAUGAAUGCAAUGGAUCUGCGUCGUGGAAUCACAAUGACUGUUGAUGCUGUUGUUACAAACCUGAAGAGCAGAGCCAGAAUGAUUAGCACAAUUGAAGAAAUUGCACAGGGUUUCCUUCUCCGUAAGAGUAGAGAGAAGCUCUAGAUUGCAGCUCAAAGUGCUUCCUUCUGUUAAUUUGAUUGCAUUGAAGUGUUUUUGCAUGAGGUAAUUCCUUUUCUCUCCACUCCUCUCUAUAUGUUACUUUUAGUCUGGCAUGUUUGGUACUUUUGUAAUAGGUGCAAAGUCAUUCAAUCGGCAAAGCUUUGAUCACAUUGGAGACACUCAAAAUCCUUAUGAGCAAGCAAUAUCUAUCAUUUCAAGAGCAUUAAGUUUUUCUUUUUCUUUUUUAUGAGGAUGAUUUGAUACCCUAUUUCAGAUUUGGAGAUGACAGUUUCUUAUGAUCAUAUGCUUUCAUGGGUUGUUUAGUAGCUGACUCUAUCUUGAUUACACACUAACGUUCUCUCAUCUAUAUUUUGGCAACAUCAAUAUAUGAUCAAGAUGUCUUUAGUUACUAUCCUGAUGAGAGACAUUGAUGGAUUAGAGAAAGCUUUGACUCCAACAAAGAAAUAGUCCCCGUCUACCGUUGGCAGGUUAAACUUUUCUUAUUGCAUUAUUUUUGCUUUGAAGAAGAUAUCAAUCUGGUACAUGAUUGUCAGCUUCGUUAUAAUUGGACCAACAUCAUUUGCUCCCAUUGUUGAAAUGGCUAUGAUUAUUGUCGACCAAAGCGGUGGUCAGUGCCAUGUUUUAUUGAUAAUAGCUUAUGGGCAGGUAACUUUUUGUUUGGUCGAGUUCUCAUUUUUAGUUUAAUGAAGAACUAUUAUUUCGUAGAAAUAUUAUUUUAGCUUCAACUUUGAUCAUGAGUGCAUUACAUUGUGGCCAUAAGCUACUAUGCCAUAUGUUGGUUCUACCACUGUAGUGUAUGUAUGGUGGAAUACAAAAUUUUACUUUCAUCCACUUAUCAUGUUUCAGUUAUUGGCAAUUCUUAUUUUACAUUUUUUUUUUUUGGUUCUCAGAUUUUAUUCUUUUUUGGAUUCUCGGAUAGGAUUUUUUUUCCAUAGUCCUCAUAAUUUUGUAAUGAUGUAGAGUUCUUCAUUUUGGCAUUAAAUUGGGUAAUCAUGACAUUAAUUUCUUGUGUGAAAGAUAUAAAUCAUUGUAUUUAGAAACUGGAUCUAAUAUAUCAUGCCAUUUUUCAUUAUAAAGAAGCCUUGCUCCCUCCCCCUCUCUUUUAUGGUUUGAGAUAACUCAUGAACUUUCCCUUGCUGUUCUUAGGAAUGGACUCUCUAUGAGAUAUUAAGAUAUGCACCCCAACACAAUUGGAUUGCUUAUGAGGAACCUCUGAAAACAAACCCUCUUUUGGCCAAAAUGGUAAUAAAUGGAGUUGUCUACUCCUUGGGGGGAUUGGAUUGUGCAAGUAUGACUUAGUCUUGAAAUAAAACCUUGUUUCUUAGUUAUCUUCUUUUUCUUCUAUGAAAAUUUGGUAAUCUAUUAUUUUAUUAAAUGGAUUUUGAUGACACAUGAAACCAUAUUUAAUAUUCUUCUUA